UCGGGAAUUUUGGGCAAUGGGCGAAAGCCUGACCCAGCAACGCCGCGUGAGGGAUGAAGGCCUUCGGGUCGUAAACCUCUGUCGGGAGGGAAGAACGUCCACGGGGCGAACAGUCCCGGGGGCUGACGGUACCUCCAAAGGAAGCGCCGGCUAACUCCGUGCCAGCAGCCGCGGUAAUACGGAGGGCGCAAGCGUUGUUCGGAAUCAUUGGGCGUAAAGCGCGUGUAGGCGGCUUGGUAAGUCGAGUGUGAAAGCCCGGGGGCUCAACCCCGGAAGGUCGCUCGAAACUGCCUCGCUCGAGUCCCGGAGAGGAAGGCGGAAUUCCCGGUGUAGAGGUGAAAUUCGUAGAUAUCGGGAGGAACACCAGCGGCGAAGGCGGCCUUCUGGACGGUGACUGACGCUGAGACGCGAAAGCGUGGGGAGCAAACAGGAUUAGAUACCCUGGUAGUCCACGCCGUAAACGUUGGGUGCUAGGUGUCGCGGGUAUUGACCCCUGCGGUGCCGCCGCUAACGCAUUAAGCA
rnacentral:rRNA from 1 species